AGGGGACGUUAGCGUGUGUAUGUUUACUCACUACCUCUCCUGUUCUGAUGUGUUGUUACUCCAGCUGAAUGGAGACAUCCCUCCAGGUUAAAGAAGAUGUGCUCAUGAGGUCAUCCUGGACUUCAUCCGCUCCAGACCACCUCUCAACCCUGUUACUGCUAGGAAGUUGAAGCCUCACCCUGCGUGGCCGCAGACCCUCCAUGAGCGUCUCUUAGAGGGCAUCAAACAGGAGAGGAAGCUACGGCCUGUAUCACCUGACAUGAUCCGACGCAACCGCCUGGGAAGAACCGGUGUUGAUGACCGGACCAUAUUGGAGAUGUUCCCUCCUAUAGGAGCAGUCAAAAGCAUCAGCACCCCUCAAGAUCCGAACCGCAGCUCAGACCUGUCCACUCCAGAUGCCCCAAGGAAGCACGUCGCCAGCACCCUGUCCUGUCCACCAGCUCCCGGGCUGGGAGGGGCU